rnacentral:rRNA from 1 species
UCGCUUGUUGGUGGGGUAAUGGCCUACCAGGCGACGACGGGUAGCCGGCCUGAGAGGGCGACCGGCCACACUGGGACUGAGACACGGCCCAGACUCCUACGGGAGGCAGCAGUGGGGAAUAUUGCACAAUGGGCGAAAGCCUGAUGCAGCGACGCCGCGUGAGGGAUGACGGCCUUCGGGUUGUAAACCUCUUUCAGCAGGGAAGAAGCGAAAGUGACGGUACCUGCAGAAGAAGCACCGGCUAACUACGUGCCAGCAGCCGCGGUAAUACGUAGGGUGCGAGCGUUGUCCGGAAUUAUUGGGCGUAAAGAGCUCGUAGGCGGCCUGUCGCGUCGGUUGUGAAAGCCCGGGGCUUAACCCCGGGUCUGCAGUCGAUACGGGCAGGCUAGAGUUCGGUAGGGGAGAUCGGAAUUCCUGGUGUAGCGGUGAAAUGCGCAGAUAUCAGGAGGAACACCGGUGGCGAAGGCGGAUCUCUGGGCCGAUACUGACGCUGAGGAGCGAAAGCGUGGGGAGCGAACAGGAUUAGAUACCCUGGUAGUCCACGCCGUUAAACGUUGGGAACUAGGUGUGGGCGAGAUUCCACGUCGUCCGUGCC